UCCCGAUGGCCCGACAUGGAAUAGACCUCGGCAAAAUGAGUGGCGUCAUUGGUUUCUAACAAAUAUCCGCAAAAAUAAGAUAGAGGACGCCGAGUGUAAGUCAGAGUAUAUUGGACCAUUAGCCGGACAAGGAAACCGGCUUCAUUGAUGUAUUUUUAUGGUUUUCCAACAGCCUCCUGUUGGUGACAUAUCAUUUUUAGGGCUGAAUCUUGGUACGAGGCCUGUGAAUAGACUUCGAGGAUAUUUCUCCUCUCAAAAGUAUUGCAAGAAGUACAAUUUGACUUUGAAAGCUAUAAACUAUUUUAAAGUCGAUUGGGGAACGGAUCCAGCGGUCGGAAUACCAACGCCUGAAAUACCACAAAAAGUAUUGAAUGAAACCGAUGAUAACUUCGCUCUUACCUAGUCCAGUCAAUAGAGCACAUAUAGGGGCUAAGUAGAGACAAUUUCUGAGGAAACUUUCUGAUAUACUAUUCCUAUGUAUUUUUCAUCGCUGAAUCCGAAUUUCAUAUUUGCGAACAUAUCUGAGGCGAGCCGAAGCCUCCAUCUUAAAAAAAUGGUCGAAAUUAGCGUUUUUCGGCCAAAAAACCGAAAUAACUCGUAUAUUAUGGCAAUUACGGCAGCAGUAGUACCUUUUAAAUUAAAGUACAUAAAAUUUCCAUUAAAACGAGUCCAAGAUGGUUAAGAUUGGAUGAUAGCAAAUGCCGUUACAGCGUUGCAAAGUUUCAGGCAAUUAUUGAAGUUAGGCAAUUUUCGUAACUCUCCCUGCAAAAAGAGAGCUUUCAAGGCAAUUAAUCAUUAAAUCGUAGUAAGUGUAAGUACAUACAUACAUUCCAGUCGCUUUACAGCGCGCCCGGGCGCUCUGCGACACCUAAUCGCCAUCCUUGCCUAUCGAUCCAGAGGUCAUCUGGUAAAUGGGUAAGUGGGUAAGUGUAAGUAUGAAUGAUAAAAGGAGUGCAAUUUUGAUUUCUUUACCUUCAAGAACGGCAGUGGAUAAGAGGGGGGGGGGUCCGUAUAAGCGCAGCUGCAGGGUCCUUCGUUCCUCCCCUAUUUUCAUGGCCCGGGUGCGGCCGGUCGGCUUUCGUUCUCCGGGUUAGAAGUUCAAUUUGAUUUGUAAACGAUGUUGUUCCAAUGUUUCCUCUCUUAUUAUUUCGGCGCAUAACUGUUAAUAACACAUCUGAUGAGGAACUUCAACAUUUUUUGUCGAUCUCUCACCCUUUACCCUUUUGAUGACCUUAGCAGACGGCAUGCGUAUUCCACAUUUUAUGGUAUGUUUUUUUACAUUUACACCGUGUGUAGAUAAAAUUGAUGACAAGAAUCCUACUUAUGUCAUAAAUGUUCGUUUUUUGCUCCAUCGAGUGAUUUGGAGACAAAAUGAGGCAUUUUCAGCUAGAUGCAACAACCGUGUGUAUUCCGCUAAUUCUGUGAUCGUUUUCGGCGGCUAUCCCGAGGAUAUUACAAAAUGCAGCACGAAAACACCUGGAAGAUGACGAAGAUGACAAGCUUCAUCAUUGGAAAUAAAAUUCCAUGAAAGUAUGGUCCCAGUAACAUCACAAGCAAAUUUUCUGAAAAACGGCAAAAACAAAUCCUGUUUGAUCCAAAGGCUCAUGAAACGUUUCAGGGCUGAAACCAUGUCUGUAUUUCAAUCAAAGUUUCAAAGACCUUAGAAAUGGCAAAACAGGGCGAAAUUGCUGUCAUUGUAGAAAAAGAUAUUGACCUCCUUGUCCCCCUUACAGCUCAGUCAAGUAACGUCAAAAAUGCUUUCCCUCUAAAAUCAGGAAAAGGUGAGACUCCUUAAAUACUUUUCAACCGAGGCAGCCUUCAAAAUUGAGUGAAAGCCGAACACAUACUGUUCAUUCAUGCUAUUAGUGGGUGUGACACGACAUCAUCACUCGACAUCAUCACUCCUCAGGCAAGUCAAAGUUAAAUUUUUAGCAAACCCUGAAGAAAAACUCAGCUUUAAUAAGUGAACCAGCAGCUCAGAUGCUUAAAAAAUCAGCCUCAAAGCAAGAAGAAAUUUCUUAAGCAGGAAAAUACUUUUUUUUUUCAGGAAAUUUCAGGAAAUUUACUCAAGCUACAUGGCUUCAAGGGUGAGCAGAAAAAACUUUGGCUGAAUUUGGGUAUGAAAGCUAUGUCCCGACUUUUUUCCACAAUGUACAAAAUCUCGCUUGUCUUCCACCUUCAGAGGACGCUGCCACAUUUCAUGCUACUAUCCUCAAGCACAUAGCAAUGGAUGAGCAUCAAGAAAAACGCGUGUGACUGGGGGUGGAAGAAUAGCAGAGAUGGCCUCAUCCCCAUCAUUACAUUGAAUAAUCCCGCUACGGGCGAAAUUUUAAGCAAGAUCUCAUACAAGUACAUUGAAGAAAGUCGCGGCGCCCGCGGUUUUUGGAAGAAAUGCUUUCAGCGCAGUCUUGUUUGCGGGUAUUGCCAUGGCUCGUGCGAAAAUAGUCAAUAAGACGCACUUUCAAUGGAAGAAGAAGGAGAUGACGUAGAUGAUCCAGAAGACACUGAAUGUUUGGACAAUGACUAUGAAAUGCAGAGAAGUGAAGAGAUUGACGAGUGGAUGGAACAAGAGGCAGUGGGGCGCAGAGGGAGCCAUGACACGGUGUAAGUGCAUUAUAAAAUGUGGACAUUGUAACUUUACUCAUGGCAUCUGCUGCGGUAAAUAGCGAGAGUGGAUAGGGUGCAUGGAAGUUCGUGCGACUAAAAUUUUUGAAGCUCCUCAUCUGAUUUUAUAAUAAUAAGUAUGCGCCGAAAUAAUAAGAGCGGGUUUAUUGGAACAACAUCUUUUUCAACUCGAAUUAAACUCCUCAUACUGCUGAUUGGAUUACAGCGCAGCGGUCGGUGCGCUUAAACUUAACGGACUCAAAAGUUUGACCUACUAUAUUUUUGGCAUAAGCUAGCAGUGCCUGUCUCUUUGGCUUGGUGGCAGCUAAUGUUGUCAUCAGCGAAUAUACCUUUACGUAGGCACAUCAAGUUUAUGUCCUCCGGAAAAGGCGCCUGUG